CCGUAGACCCGAAACCGGGUGACCUAUCCAUGGCCAGGUUGAAGCGAGGGUAAAACCUCGUGGAGGACCGAACCACGUUGCUGUUGAAAAAGCAUGGGAUGAGCUGUGGAUAGCGGAGAAAUUCCAAUCGAACCCGGAGAUAGCUGGUUCUCUCCGAAAUAGCUUUAGGGCUAGCGUCGAGUAUGAGUAGUGGAGGUAGAGCACUGAAUGGGCUAGGGGGCAUAGCGCUUACCGAACCUUAUCAAACUCCGAAUGCCACAUACUUUGAGCUCGGCAGUCAGACUACGAAUGAUAAGAUCCGUGGUCAAAAGGGAAACAGCCCAGAUCGUCAGCUAAGGUCCCAAAGUGUAAGUUAAGUGGGAAAGGAUGUGAGAUUUCUAAGACAACUAGGAUGUUGGCUUAGAAGCAGCCAUUCAUUAAAAGAGUGCGUAAUAGCUCACUAGUCGAGAGAUCUUGCGCCGAAAAUGUAACGGGGCUAAACUUACCACCGAAGCUACGGGCUUGAACUUAUGUUCAAGCGGUAGGAGAGCGUCGUAACCGGGCUGAAGUCGUACCGUAAGGAGCGGUGGACUGGUUACGAGUGAGAAUGUUGGCAUCAGUAGCGAGAUGUGGGUGAGAAUCCCACAGGCCGAAAACCUAAGGUUUCCUCAGGAAGGUUCGUCCGCUGAGGGUUAGUCGGGACCUAAGCCGAGGCC
rnacentral:rRNA from 1 species